CGAACGCUGGCGGCGUGCUUAACACAUGCAAGUCGAACGGAAAGGCCCUGCUUUUGUGGGGUGCUCGAGUGGCGAACGGGUGAGUAACACGUGAGUAACCUGCCCUUGACUUUGGGAUAACUUCAGGAAACUGGGGCUAAUACCGGAUAGGAGCUCCUGCUGCAUGGUGGGGGUUGGAAAGUUUCGGCGGUUGGGGAUGGACUCGCGGCUUAUCAGCUUGUUGGUGGGGUAGCGGCUUACCAAGGCUUUGACGGGUAGCCGGCCUGAGAGGGUGACCGGCCACAUUGGGACUGAGAUACGGCCCAGACUCCUACGGGAGGCAGCAGUGGGGAAUAUUGCACAAUGGGCGGAAGCCUGAUGCAGCAACGCCGCGUGCGGGAUGACGGCCUUCGGGUUGUAAACCGCUUUCGCCUGUGACGAAGCGUGAGUGACGGUAAUGGGUAAAGAAGCACCGGCUAACUACGUGCCAGCAGCCGCGGUGAUACGUAGGGUGCGAGCGUUGUCCGGAUUUAUUGGGCGUAAAGGGCUCGUAGGUGGUUGAUCGCGUCGGAAGUGUAAUCUUGGGGCUUAACCCUGAGCGUGCUUUCGAUACGGGUUGACUUGAGGAAGGUAGGGGAGAAUGGAAUUCCUGGUGGAGCGGUGGAAUGCGCAGAUAUCAGGAGGAACACCAGUGGCGAAGGCGGUUCUCUGGGCCUUUCCUGACGCUGAGGAGCGAAAGCGUGGGGAGCGAACAGGCUUAGAUACCCUGGUAGUCCACGCUGUAAACGGUGGGUACUAGGUGUGGGGUCCAUUCCACGGGUUCCGUGCCGUAGCUAACGCUUUAAGUACCCCGCCUGGGGAGUACGGCCGCAAGGCUAAAACUCAAAGGAAUUGACGGGGCCCCGCACAAGCGGCGGAGCAUGCGGAUUAAUUCGAUGCAACGCGUAGAACCUUACCUGGGUUUGACAUGGAUCGGGAGCGCUCAGAGAUGGGUGUGCCUCUUUUGGGGUCGGUUCACAGGUGGUGCAUGGCUGUCGUCAGCUCGUGUCGUGAGAUGUUGGGUUAAGUCCCGCAACGAGCGCAACCCUUGUUCACUGUUGCCAGCACGUUAUGGUGGGGACUCAGUGGAGACCGCCGGGGUCAACUCGGAGGAAGGUGGGGAUGACGUCAAGUCAUCAUGCCCCUUAUGUCCAGGGCUUCACGCAUGCUACAAUGGCUGGUACAGAGAGUGGCGAGCCUGUGAGGGUGAGCGAAUCUCGGAAAGCCGGUCUCAGUUCGGAUUGGGGUCUGCAACUCGACCUCAUGAAGUCGGAGUCGCUAGUAAUCGCAGAUCAGCAACGCUGCGGUGAAUACGUUCCCGGGGCUUGUACACACCGCCCGUCAAGUCAUGAAAGUUGGUAACACCCGAAGCCGGUGGCCUAACCGUUGUGGGGGAGCCGUCGAAGGUGGGACUGGUGAUUAGG
rnacentral:rRNA from 1 species